rnacentral:rRNA from 1 species
GAUGAACGCUGGCGGCGUGCCUAAUACAUGCAAGUCGAGCGAACAGACGAGGAGCUUGCUCCUCUGACCUUAGCGGCGGACGGGUGAGUAACACGUGGAUAACCUACCUAUAAGACUGGGAUAACUUCGGGAAACCGGAGCUAAUACCGGAUAAUAUAUUGAACCGCAUGGUUCAAUAGUGAAAGACGGUUUUGCUGUCACUUAUAGAUGGAUCCGCGCCGCAUUAGCUAGUUGGUAAGGUAACGGCUUACCAAGGCGACGAUGCGUAGCCGACCUGAGAGGGUGAUCGGCCACACUGGAACUGAGACACGGUCCAGACUCCUACGGGAGGCAGCAGUAGGGAAUCUUCCGCAAUGGGCGAAAGCCUGACGGAGCAACGCCGCGUGAGUGAUGAAGGUCUUCGGAUCGUAAAACUCUGUUAUUAGGGAAGAACAAAUGUGUAAGUAACUAUGCACGUCUUGACGGUACCUAAUCAGAAAGCCACGGCUAACUACGUG